ensembl:lncRNA
GGGACGGAUGUCAAUGUCUAUAUAUUUUUCAUACAGCAAAUGCCACUAAAAUGGCUGCUGCCUCUCGGUUUCCUUAGAAACCCAUUAGUCUCCCUCAGCAGCUGUCAAAACUUGCUGGCGGUUUCCUGCUCACCUUUGCUGUUUCUCCUUCAAAAAGGGAUGGAGAGGAGGACUAUCUGACUUGGCCUGGAGACACCGUCAGGGGUCCCAGUCUCCCCUGGGAGCUGAGGGAGGCCUGGGAUGGAACGGAGAGGCAGUGCAGGCACGGCCGGAAGCCCAGAGGGUAGGCCAGGGCCCAGAAUGGUGACCAGCGGUGACGGUUGUUUAAUCACUAAGUUGUGUCCGACUCUUUCGGACACCAUUGACUGCUGCCGACUAGGCUCCUCUGGCCGUGGGAUUUUCUAGGCAAGAAUACCGGAGUGGGUUGUCCUUUCCUUCCUUCAAGUCAUGACUGAAGGGUUGACAAACUGAAGUUUGAGGCCUUGAACCUUGCAGUUGCUGGGGCUCCCAUCACCUACUCAAUGAAACACACACAAGCACACAAUUAAGAAUGGCGAGCAGUGGGGCCAGGGCAGAACUGUGGUUCGGAUCGGGGACCAAGUUCCCACCACCCUUGGGGUAACCUGAGUGGUUGGCCCCACGUGUCCUUCACUCCGUGUCUGGAGUGUGGAAGGGGUGGUCACUACACCUGUCUCUGGUAGGUGUACAAAACUAAUGAUAUGCUUAGAAGUUCAGUUGCACUCUGUCAAAAAUCAAAUUACACACCAGUGGUUGCUUAGGAAUUUGGGGACAAGUUAAAUCUUUUAGACUACUACCAAGCAGUGUUUUGAUACUGAUGGUGCAUUUGGAAACAGACAAUGAGGAAGGAGACAGAGCGUUGCUAACCUCACUCUGUUAUUUUUUUUCUCUCCUACUCUCCUCUCAUUCCUCUGCUCAAAGGAUGUUCAAGGGGACUGAAGAGAAUGAAACAGCAGGUGCAUUCUGGCAUCCUAAUAAAAGCAGGUGCAUUUUAUCCCAAUACAACUCCUCCAAAGAAUCACCAUUUCCCCUCUGCUCCCUAGCCAGGAUCUGGUCUCAGACCUACCUCUGUUCCCUCAGCAACAUCGCCUGGUUCAGUGCUUAUCCCUCAGGUAACCUCCAUCCUGUGGAUUUCUACUGUGUUGAAGAAGAACUUCCUGCCUAGUGGGAGAGAGCUGUGAAAAACCAUGAAUGCUCCAACUGGCCACCUUUCCAGAAUAGACUAUUCCUCUGGAACCAAGACCAGCAAAAAUCACUGUUAUGCACAUCACUCAGAUCCAAACUAGGUGUAAGGAAUAACCUUACAAUCUGUGCAACAUUCCAUGUGGGCCAAAGGAAGGUCCCUUUAUAUGUGAAAGUGUUUUGUGUGCCACUUCCUCAAGGUGAGUGGUGAAGUAACACUAAGGAACUUGGAUAAAUAAUUUGGGGUGAGGAAAAUGUCACAUUAUCACUGCAUUCAUCUUAGGCCUAUUUUCUAGUGGAAUAUAACAAUUUUGGUGAAUUAACGAGCUGAUAUUACUCUCUUGAUAUUGUGUGAGAGAAGUGUGGUACAUUGUUCAGCUUGGAAAUUUUCUAGCUGUGUUAUUAUACACAUUUUCAUAUUAAUAGAGAAAAUUACCAUUAAAAGCAAUUUUGAAUGAAUUACAGUCACCUAGCUUUUGUUGUAAUUUCUUCUUCAUCUGUAACCCAGUAUGGGCUCCUUUAGAUUUCAGAACCAGAUUACUUAUAUUGUAGAUUCCACAGAGAAAAUAAGAAUAGAAAAGAGAGAAUGUGACUAAACAUCUUAUUGGUUACAUUAAACCAAGAGCACUGGAACUUGACAGAAAUAAAACAGAGAAUUGUCAUUAUCA